UGGCACCAACCUGAUGUUUUGAGGCUGU
rnacentral:piRNA from 1 species